rnacentral:rRNA from 1 species
AGAGUGAACGCUGGCGGCGUGCUUAACACAUGCAAGUCGAACGAGAACGGGUCUUAGCUUGCUAAGAUUGUCAGCUAAGUGGCGCACGGGUGAGUAAUAUAUAGUUAACCUGCCCUAGAGAGAGGGAUAACGUUUGGAAACGGACGCUAACACCUCAUAUGCCUUUAAGUCAUAAGACUGCAAGGGAAACAUUUAUGGCUCUAGGAUGGGACUGUACGGUAUCAGUUAGUUGGUGAGGUAAUGGCUCACCAAGACAAUGACACCUAACUGGUUUGAGAGGAUGAUCAGUCACACUGGAACUGAGACACGGUCCAGACUCCUACGGGAGGCAGCAGUGGGGAAUAUUGCACAAUGGACGAAAGUCUGAUGCAGCAACGCCGCGUGGAGGAUGACACAUUUCGGUGCGUAAACUCCUUUUAUAUAGGAAGAUAAUGACGGUACUAUAUGAAUAAGCACCGGCUAACUCCGUGCCAGCAGCCGCGGUAAUACGGAGGGUGCAAGCGUUACUCGGAAUCACUGGGCGUAAAGAGAAUGUAGGCGGGUAAUUAAGUCAGAAGUGAAAUCCAAUAGCUCAACUAUUGAACUGCUUUUGAAACUGAUAACCUAGAAUAUGGGAGAGGUAGAUGGAAUUUCUGGUGUAGGGGUAAAAUCCGUAGAGAUCAGAAGGAAUACCGAUUGCGAAGGCGAUCUACUGGAACAUUAUUGACGCUGAGAUUCGAAAGCGUGGGGAGCAAACAGGAUUAGAUACCCUGGUAGUCCACGCCCUAAACGAUGCACACUAGUUGUUGCUAUGCUAGACAUAGCAGUAAUGCAGUUAACACAUUAAGUGUGCCGCCUGGGGAGUACGGUCGCAAGAUUA